AUUGAACGCUGGCGGCGUGCCUAACACAUGCAAGUCGAGCGGUAACAGGUGUAGCAAUACAUGCUGACGAGCGGCGAACGGGUGAGUAAUGCUUCGGAAUCUACCCAAUGGUGGGGAAUAACCAGCCGAAAGGUUGGCUAAUACCGCAUACGUCCCACGGGAGAAAGCAGGGGAUCGCAAGACCUUGCGCCAAUGGAUGAGCCGAAGUCGGAUUAGCUAGUUGGAGGGUAACGGCCUACCAAGGCGACGAUCCGUAGCUGGUCUGAGAGGACGACCAGCCACACUGGGACUGAGACACGGCCCAGACUCCUACGGGAGCAGCAGUGGGGAAUAUUGGACAAUGGGGGGAAACCCUGAUCCAGCGACGCCGCGUGUGUGAAGAAGGCCUGCGGGGUUGUAAAAGCACUUUUAGUGGGGAUGAAAUGUUCAGGGUUAACACCUCUGGUAUUUUGACCUAACCCACAGAAAAGCACCGGCUAACUCUGUGCCAGCCGCCGCAGUAA
rnacentral:rRNA from 1 species